UCGCCUGUUUUAUCAAAAACAUUGUCUCCUGCCCGGUGAAGUCCUUAAACGGCCGCGGUAGCCUGACCGUGCUAAGGUAGCGCAAUCAUUUGCCCUUUAAUUGGGGGCUAGUAUGAAUGGACAAACGAGGGCCUCGCUGUCUCCUCUUUUGUUCUUAAAACUAGGUUGCAAGUGAAAACACUUGUGUAGGCGCAGAGGACAAAAAGACCCCGUAGAGCUUUAGUGCCGCGUGUUAUGUAAUAUGUUGUGCUUAAACACUUUGGUUGGGGCGACAGAGGCCCACCUAAAGCGGCCAAUCUUAUCGGGAUAAUUUUGACUUCAUGUCAGCAACAACUGAUCCGCUGGGCGAUCAGAGGAAAAGUUACCUCGGGGAUAACAGACUAAUCCAUCCAAAGAGUACACAUUGAUGGAUGGGUUUGGCACCUCGAUGUUGGCUCAGGGCCCUCCCAGGUAGCAGGAGCUUGGGGAGGAAGGUCUGUUCGCCCUUUUAAACCCUACGUGAUCUGAGUUCCAGACCGGA
rnacentral:rRNA from 1 species